ACGAACGCUGGCGGCGUGCUUAACACAUGCAAGUCGAACGGUAAGGCCCUUUCGGGGGUACACGAGUGGCGAACGGGUGAGUAACACGUGGGUAAUCUGCCCUGCACUUCGGGAUAAGCCUGGGAAACCGGGUCUAAUACCGGAUAUGAGCUCCUGCCGCAUGGUGGGGGUUGGAAAGUUUUUCGGUGCAGGAUGAGUCCGCGGCCUAUCAGCUUGUUGGUGGGGUAAUGGCCUACCAAGGCGACGACGGGUAGCCG
rnacentral:rRNA from 1 species